UACGUAGGGUGCGAGCGUUGUCCGGAAUUAUUGGGCGUAAAGAGCUCGUAGGCGGUCUGUCGCGUCGGUCGUGAAAACUUGGGGCUUAACCCUGAGCUUGCGGUCGAUACGGGCAUGACUGGAGUUCGGUAGGGGAGACUGGAAUUCCUGGUGUAGCGGUGAAAUGCGCAGAUAUCAGGAGGAACACCGGUGGCGAGGCGGGUCUCUGGGCCGAUACUGACGCUGAGGAGCGAAAGCGUGGGGAGCGAACAGG
rnacentral:rRNA from 1 species